GGCAUCAGCACCGGAGUGGGAGGGUGCGAGCGUGUGUUCUUGAGCGUGUUAUGCCAAUUGCCGGGCCUCGCAUGCGUGUAGUGGAGCCUCACCUAUACACGCAUGCAAGCGCAAUGAUCCACACAAAUCCAUGCUAGGAAAAAUGCGCGCGUGCAGCAGGACGAACCAUGAAGUCCAUCCCACAAGACCGAAACGGCGUGCCGCGCUCUCUUGGCCUUUCUUUGCACCAUUACUAUCACCCAUCCCCGAUGAUAGAGGCGGGCGUAUGGCCUUGAGCUCAACACUUCGAGAAUUUCUCUCAAAACGGCUGCUGCAGCUGCGGUUGUUUGCCUGUUACUAACGAAGACGCACAGCCGCAUGAGAGGCAGAAAAGGGUGAGGAGCGAUGCGCACCUCGACAGACCGACAGGAGAACGGCCUUUUCAACGUGUCCGUUCUCCGCCGUGCAACCAGGGUGACACGCCACUCCUACCCCCUCCCCCCGGCCCGUCACAGGCCCCAUCGCGUGGUGCGAGGCAGCCGGUGGACACGCCUUACAGCAAAAUGCCGACCCGGCCAUCGGAGCACGGCCCCUGCCUCCAGCGCUACCCCCGCCCGCCUCGCAGGUCGCCUCACAGCCGCUCCCCCAUCAUGCCGGGCGCACGUGCUGCAUCCCUCCCCCCUCUCGGCGCGGCACAGGCUCCCGGCACCGGUAGGCAGCCAUGGCCGCGUGGCGUACGUUGGAGUCGCGCAGACGCUUUACCCAUCAUACGAAUCGUGCAAACGUGUUGACGGUCGCAUGCAGCUCCAACGCAACGCCAUCCCACGGCCUCACCGCCAACCUCAGUGGCGCUAAAUCGCACGGAGCCCACACCCUUACGUCGUAGGUGCUCGACACUGUCACCACCGGAAGUGGCGCGGUGGCUGGCACGGCGAAGGGGCUGCUCGGCUUCCUCCCCACAAUGAGUGGGGGGUGAUUUGGGGGGGGCACCGGACCCUGAGAUGCCACGCUGGGGUGUCUCCAGGUCGUCCGGGACACACACAGGAAAACCAACAGAAAACGAAGAGCGAGCGGUCUCGUCUCCUUCCCUUCCCUCCCUUGCUCUCACACUCUCAUGAUGUAGAUGGCAGGUGUCACACAAGUGUUGUUAGUGUGUCCAUUAUCGGGAAUGAUGCAGGCGAUGUGGCAGUGCAGUUUGUUUGUUUUUCGUGUGCUCCUGUAUCUCUCUCUCCUUUGCCCCCUCCCCCCCCGCUGCAGUGCCCUUGUCUGUUGUUUGCGUGGUUGAUACGGCGCAGAUGAUGGUGGAGUGGACACCGUUGAUGUGGUGUGGUGGUAUUGGUCGUUGCUGUGGGUGUUCAUCUCUGUCGGUCUCGGGUGCCUGCACCUCACUGCCUGCGGUGUGAGUAUUCUUAUCUGCUUCGUGCUUCCAGGGGCAUUUUGUAGGUGUGCGUGCUCUUGUUUUUCUUCACUCCCGAGGUCUAAGCGAAGCACACCAACGGAAGAAGGAACGAAACCGUGUGCGUUGUUGUGGCUCUCAGCGGAUGUGUGCCGUGUUCUUCGUGUGUGCGUGUGUUAGUCGCUCGCAUCUUCCGCGGCUCUCUUUGAAUCACCUACUCGCCAUCUUCGAUAGUGCCUCGUUUCGUGCGGCGUUCUCUCCAAGCUCGCCGAUACGACGAACAAACACGGAAACGCCGCCGAGGCGGCGACCGCAGCCACAAAGGAAAACGUCACAUCAACAGUUCACCGGAAAGGUGCACAGGGAGGGAGGCUCGUCUCCAGAGGGGGGGGUACAAGUUGCUCACGCAGCCUCCCUUCCCUCACCUUCCACUCUGAUGCUUACUCCUCAUGGGCCUCGGUUGGGGUGGCACUGAUGUAGAAGGCGGCUUUCGAUGACGCACGAGUUUGCCACGGAGUGUCCGAAGCCUGGCGGCGUGUGUGUGAGGGACGGAAUGGUGGUGGCGCGUGGGGCGGGCAAGCGCAAUGCUCGAGGUGCACCAAGCGCCACCCCCGAGCCUCUCUCGCCCUUUUUUUCUCUCUCUGCAUGUGUCUGCUAAGCUGCCGUUGCAUCUGCGAGCCUCCCUGUCACUCACCUCUCCACCGCCCACCCCACCUCAUCACCGCGACUGCGCAAG
rnacentral:misc_RNA from 1 species